UGAACAAGCAAUGAAUAUAAUGCAUCCUCGCAUUUUCUUUGCCACAACAAAAUAGACUCCUUGGGUUCUUCGUCUAUGGCGGAGAUGAGAUCGGAGAGGAGAUCAAAACAGAGGAGAGGAUCCGGGGAUUGUUGAGAGGAGGAAGCGACAAUGGACUCAAGCUGCGCCACCAGCACGCCGAAUCGCGAGAGUGGCACAUUCUCUCUGACAUAGUUCUUCGCCAUUGAAGAACUGAGAUUCCAAAUGCAAAGUGCAGUCCAGUGUUGAGGAGAAUGGACAGUGGCUUGUUUUCUUGUUUCGAUUUAUCCUACCAAAUGAUCUGAAAUCGGAAUCAGUUUUUUUUUUUU
rnacentral:misc_RNA from 1 species